AGAGAAAAGAAAUCCCUGCUCACCGAAGAUGCAUUCAAAUUUCUAUUAAAGGUAAAAUAGAGCGAUUACAUUUACAAUGAGAAUGGAGGUCUCUGCUCACAGAUUUUAUAGGAAGGGUACAAAACAGAAUAGAGCCAAACAUUCUCUGAUCAAAGCAUUAAUUUGAAAGGUACAAUACAGGGUAAAGGGUGUGAGAGGGCAUUCUCAUACAUUGCAGACAAAGAACAAACAAUAAUACAUUGUGUCUCGCAUAUUAUAUCCUUUGAUCUGAAGAUUUUUUUGGCUGGAAACUGCUUCGUUAGGGACCUACCGAUGACUGACCCAGAGGGAUUAAUCAAUAUGCUAAUCGCAAGGUACAAAGGUGACAUUCCUAAGUAUAGUCAUGUUAUCCUUAAUUGUCAGUUAAGAUGAAGUGAGUAGUAAAACAAACGUUAAAACAUACUACUAGAACAUUGGCAUACAAACAUCACGGUAGUGUCUUUGUGGAUGUUAAACCCGUUGCCUAGUUAAAAGGUAGCGCUGUGGAUUAAAGGUUGCAGGACAGCAGGCCUUGGUAUGUGCGCAUUCACACCUCCAGAGCUAUGUGUUGCUUUACUAAUAACGUUACUAAUGAGGUGGGGGAGGAUGAGGGAUCUUGGCAUAAAGCCAGGGCACAUUUUGGUGUGAUACACCUUGUAUUUGGGCUUUAUUACUGAAAAACUAAAAGGAUUUUGAAAAUAAGAGAAAAUUAUCUUUGAACAGUGUUGACCAUGUGUCCCUGAAAAGUAAGGAUUAGUUCCAAACAACAUCUAGAGUAUCAGGUGGUAGCCACUGCACGGCUCUCUGUGGGACAAAUAGUGUAACCUUUGCUGGGUCCCAUCUAACAGUUCACUUUCCACGGUAUAAGAGUAAUG